UACAGAGUGGGCAAGCGUUGUCCGGAAUGACUGGGCGUAAAGAGCGCGUAGGCGGUUUUUUAAGUCGGAUGUGAAAUCCCUGGGCUCAACCUAGGAACUGCAUACGAUACUGGAGAACUAGAGGAUGAGAGAGGAAAGUGGAAUGACGAGUGUAGAGGUGAAAUUCGUAGAUAUUCGUCGGAACACCAGAGGCGAAGGCGGCUUUCUGGCUCAUACCUGACGCUGAGGCGCGAAAGCGUGGGGAGCAAACAGG
rnacentral:rRNA from 1 species